CGAUCGAGCUACUCAUUUAAUCGUAGCAGCUCUUGAUCCGUUGGUGAAAUAUCGAAAAUCGAGUUAAAAUGCGCGCUUUAAUUUGGAGUUUAAAAUUUUUACUAUUUUGCAUUUUCGUCACUUCAGUGCAGCCACAACAAACGAGUAAAAGUUCCACUGAGAAUCCAAAUAAGUAUAUUAUGGAAAGUGUGCUCACCAUCGAGCCGCAAUGUGGCCCUGGCUAUGUUUCAAUAAACAGUCGUUGCCACAAGAGCGCAUAGCUGCUUAUGUUCAAGUAAAGAAGAUGUUACUCGUAUACUGUAUAUGUAUGUGUAAAGCAUAAGUGAGAGAUAAGAAUAUAAUUCUGAAGUAAUCCACGGCAUCUCCGAAUGUGCCUCAAGUCUACCCACGAAACAGCAGGGUAUCAUACAUAUUUCAGUGUCAAACGGAGGGACGCAAGUUAAAACCGCAUUUAGAAGUAGUUUUUGUUUGAAAUAUUUAAAUACGUAAAAUGUUUCAAAAUAGAAAUUAAUAAAAAUAUAAAUGGUUUUGUCUAUUUUA